rnacentral:siRNA from 1 species
GCCUUUAGUCAAGUGGUUACGUUC